UACGUAGGGUGCGAGCGUUGUCCGGAAUUAUUGGGCGUAAAGAGCUCGUAGGCGGCUUGUCGCGUCGGAUGUGAAAGCCCGGGGCUUAACCCCGGGUCUGCAUUCGAUACGGGCAGGCUAGAGUUCGGUAGGGGAGAUCGGAAUUCCUGGUGUAGCGGUGGAAUGCGCAGAUAUCAGGAGGAACACCGAUGGCGAAGGCAGAUCUCUGGGCCGUAACUGACGCUGAGGAGCGAAAGCAUGGGGAGCGAACAGG
rnacentral:rRNA from 1 species